UUUCUUCAGAGAAGAAAUCUGGGUCCCUUCUCCCAAAGCUCAACAUUCUGGCCGAUCAACCACCCCAUCUAAUUCACCCCGCCGAUGGGACGCCCGGGCCACAAAGCAGAAGCAAGCAGCUGCCGGGAUAUUUUUGCACAGCCGUGUGUCACUGUGCGUAUAUCUUCGGUGGCGGAACCCAGUUGACCGUCCUUGGUCAGCCAAAGGCAUCUCCUACCGUGCACCUCUUCCCUCCAUCCUCGGAAGAGAUAAGUACAAAGAGCAAAGCCACACUGGUGUGUCUGCUGGACAGCUUUUACCCAGGGGCAGCCCAAGUCACCUGGAAAGCUGACGGCAAGCAGAUCUCCACUGGAGUGGAGACGACCAAACCAUCCAAACAGAGUGACAACAAGUACAUGGCCAGCAGUUACCUGUCUCUGGCUGCAUCAGAUUGGAACACCCAUGAGACCUACACCUGUCAGGUGACACACGAUGGGAACAGCAUCGAGAAGUCUUUGCAGCGCUCACAGUGUUCUUAACCCUCUGACCCUCAGAUGGCUCAGCUGGUCCUUGUGUCUAUCAGUAGAGUUUUCCCCAAAAGAGCCUGGAUCAGUCUGUAGCAUCACCUUAAUGCUGAUCUCCAGCCGCUCUGCUUCCUGUUUGAUGUGGGGGAUCUUUGACGAUCCCUUUGAUAUCUGCUUUUAUUCCCAUGUUCCCACUGCUCUCACCCCCCUGCAUGUCCUUCCUGCUUUAGUCUCUGAUGCAGCCUUGUUAUGAUAUUAAUAAAACCAGAAACAUUCAGCUAUCACUGUCUGUGAAGAGUUAAAAUUAUUGCCUCUUUCAAAUGUUUUCAAAAAGUUGUUUAUCAUGAUUCUGCAAUAAA